rnacentral:rRNA from 1 species
CCUACGGGCGGCAGCAGUGGGGAAUAUUGCGCACUGGGCGAAAGCCUGACCCAGCAACGCCGCGUGAAGGAAGAAGGCUUUCGGGUUGUAAACUUCUUUUAAGGGGGAAGAGCAGAAGACGGUACCCCUUGAAUAAGCCACGGCUAACUACGUGCCAGCAGCCGCGGUAAUACGUAGGUGGCAAGCGUUGUCCGGAUUUACUGGGUGUAAAGGGCGUGCAGCCGGAGAGACAAGUCAGAUGUGAAAUCCACGGGCUCAACCCGUGAACUGCAUUUGAAACUGUUUCCCUUGAGUGUCGGAGAGGUAAUCGGAAUUCCUUGUGUAGCGGUGAAAUGCGUAGAUAUAAGGAAGAACACCAGUGGCGAAGGCGGAUUACUGGACGAUAACUGACGGUGAGGCGCGAAAGCGUGGGGAGCAAACAGGAUUAGAUACCCCAGUAGUC